GACGAACGCUGGCGGCGUGCUUAACACAUGCAAGUCGAACGGAAAGGCCCUGCUUUUGUGGGGUGCUCGAGUGGCGAACGGGUGAGUAACACGUGAGUAACCUGCCCUUGACUUUGGGAUAACUUCAGGAAACUGGGGCUAAUACCGGAUAGGAGCUCCUGCUGCAUGGUGGGGGUUGGAAAGUUUCGGCGGUUGGGGAUGGACUCGCGGCUUAUCAGCUUGUUGGUGGGGUAGUGGCUUACCAAGGCUUUGACGGGUAGCCGGCCUGAGAGGGUGACCGGCCAAAUGGGGACUGGGAUAGGCCCCAGCCCCCCAGGGGGGGCAGGAGUGGGGAAUUUGGCAAAAGGGGGGGAAGCCGGAGGCAGCAACGCCGGGGGGGGGAGGAGGGCCUUGGGGUGGUAAACCGCUUUCGCCUGGGACGAAGGGGGGGUGAGGGAAAUGGGUAAAAAAGCACCGGCUAAUUACGU
rnacentral:rRNA from 1 species